UCCCUGGCAGUUCAGUGGUUAGGACUCUGCACUUUCAAUGACAAGGGCCCAAGUUCAAUCCCUGGUCAGGGAA
rnacentral:tRNA from 1 species